rnacentral:snoRNA from 1 species
CAAAUCUGUAUUCAGGAGGUCACUCUACCUAGGCUCUAAGUGGUGUACAGGAGCGUGAUGUGCAAUCCCUUUCCACAAUGUUGGGGUGAAGCGGGCAUUGCAACUGCACCUGCAUAUUCCUACAGCUUCUCAGAGUCCUAUGGACAAUGACUGAGAAGACAAACCAUGCAGGAAGCAUCU